rnacentral:rRNA from 1 species
UACGGGGGGGGCAAGCGGUUGUUCGGAAUUACUGGGCGUAAAGGGCGCGUAGGCGGCUCAAUCAGUCGGGCGUGAAAGCUCUGGGCUUAACCCAGAAAAGUCGUUCGAUACUGUUGGGCUAGAGUGUGGAAGAGGCUACUGGAAUUCCGUGUGUAGCGGUGAAAUGCGUAGAUAUACGGAGGAACACCUGCGGCGAAGGCGGGUGAGCUGGGC